CAGGCCUAACACAUGCAAGUCGAACGAUAUUUGGGAGCUUGCUCCCAGAGAAAGUGGCGCACGGGUGCGUAACGCGUAUGCAACCUGCCUUCAUCAGGGGGAUAGCCCGGAGAAAUCCGGAUUAAUACCGCAUAAAAUCACAGGAUGGCAUUAUCCAAUGAUCAAACAUUUAUGGGAUGGAGAUGGGCAUGCGUGUCAUUAGCUUGUUGGCGGGGUAACGGCCCACCAAGGCGACGAUGACUAGGGGAUCUGAGAGGAUGGCCCCCCACACUGGUACUGAGACACGGCCCAAACUCCUACGGGAGGCAGCAGUGGGGAAUAUUGGACAAUGGGCGCAAGCCUGAUCCAGCCAUGCCGCGUGAGUGAUGACGGCCUUAGGGUUGUAAAGCUCUUUCGCACGCGACGAUAAUGACGGUAGCGUGAGAAGAAGCCCCGGCUAACUUCGUGCCAGCAGCCGCGGUAAU
rnacentral:rRNA from 1 species